CCAUUCUCAUGCUAUGACUACUGCACUAAGUGAUUUAAAAUUAAAAUCGGCCAAAGGGAUACCAAGAGACAGCCCAGAAGUUUACUGGGAUGAAUGAAGCACUGGAAGAAGAAAAUUGGAUUGUCACCUGAAAGAAGAAGAGAGAAUGAACUGAUGCUGUUGUCAGGUUUUCGUCAUGAAGUCAGAAAUGUGAACAUCGACGUUUCUGUUAAUCACAGAUAACCAACCUGGAAUAUACAAUAGGCAAAGCAUGUGUGGGGAAUUUGAAGAUGGAUAAAUGAAGCAGUGUUCUUUCUCAUGUUUGG